CCCUUAGAUGUUCUGGGCUGCACGUGUGUUACAAUCGGGAGUACAACAAGAUUGCAAAUCCUAGUGGAUGAGUGGUUCUUCGAAAUUUUCUGAAGACUGGGAUAGUUGAUUGAAAUUAUUCAACUCGAACGAGGAAUUCCUUGUAAUUGUAAUUCAUUAUAUUGUAAUGAAUACGUCCCUGCCCUUUGUACACACCGCCCGUCGCUCCUACCGAUUGAACGAUCCGGUGAAUUAUUUGGAGUAGCUCUGGAAGUUGCAGAACUUCCUAUGUCACGAAAUUUUGUAAACCUUAUCGUUUAGAGGAAGGAAAAGUCGUAACA
rnacentral:rRNA from 1 species